AUUGAACGCUGGCGGCAGGCCUAACACAUGCAAGUCGAGCGGCUCGGCGGACGGGGAAGUGAGGCCUAGGAAUCGGCCUGUUAGUGGGGGAGAACGUCCGGAAACGGGAGCUAUGACCGCAUCCUCUCACAUGAGUCUCGGUCGGCUUAGCUAGUUGGUGGGGUAAAGGCAUACCAAGGCGAAGAUCCGUAACUGGUCUGAGAGGAUGAUCAGUCACACUGGGACUGAGACACGGUCCAGACUCCUACGGGAGGCAGCAGUGGGGAAUAUUGGACAAUGGGCGAAAGCCUGAUCCAGCCAUGCCGCGUGUGUGAAGAAGGUCUUCGGAUUGUAAAGCACUUUAAGUUGGGAGGCGUUACCAACAGAAGAAGCCCCGGCUAACUUCGUGCCAGCAGCCGCGGUAAUUC
rnacentral:rRNA from 1 species